GUAGGUGGCAAGCGUUGUCCGGAAUUAUUGGGCGUAAAGCGCGCGCAGGCGGUCCUUUAAGUCUGAUGUGAAAGCCCACGGCUCAACCGUGGAGGGUCAUUGGAAACUGGGGGACUUGAGUACAGAAGAGGAAAGCGGAAUUCCAAGUGUAGCGGUGAAAUGCGUAGAGAUUUGGAGGAACACCAGUGGCGAAGGCGGCUUUCUGGUCUGUAACUGACGCUGAGGCGCGAAAGCGUGGGGAGCAAACAGGGAUUAGAUACCCUGGUAGUCACGCCGUAAACGAUGAGUGCUAAGUGUUAGGGGGUUUCCCGCCCCUUAGUGCUGCAGCUAACGCAUUAAGCACUCCGCCUGGGGAGUACGGCCGCAAGGCUG
rnacentral:rRNA from 1 species